rnacentral:rRNA from 1 species
UACGAAGGGGGCUAGCGUUGCUCGGAAUCACUGGGCGUAAAGGGUGCGUAGGCGGGUCUUUAAGUCAGGGGUGAAAUCCUGGAGCUCAACUCCAGAACUGCCUUUGAUACUGAAGAUCUUGAGUUCGGGAGAGGUGAGUGGAACUGCGAGUGUAGAGGUGAAAUUCGUAGAUAUUCGCAAGAACACCAGUGGCGAAGGCGGCUCACUGGUCCGGAACUGACGCUGAGGUGCGAAAGCGUGGGGAGCAAACGGGG